AUGAACGCUAGCUACAGGCUUAACACAUGCAAGUCGAGGGGCAUCAGGAAGAAAGCUUGCUUUCUUUGCUGGCGACCGGCGCACGGGUGAGUAACACGUAUCCAACCUGCCCUUUACUCGGGGAUAGCCUUUCGAAAGAAAGAUUAAUACCCGAUGGUAUAAUUAUUCCGCAUGGUUUGAUUAUUAAAGGAUUCCGGUAAAGGAUGGGGAUGCGUUCCAUUAGGUUGUUGGUGAGGUAACGGCUCACCAAGCCUUCGAUGGAUAGGGGUUCUGAGAGGAAGGUCCCCCACAUUGGAACUGAGACACGGUCCAAACUCCUACGGGAGGCAGCAGUGAGGAAUAUUGGUCAAUGGGCGAUGGCCUGAACCAGCCAAGUAGCGUGAAGGAUGACUGCCCUAUGGGUUGUAAACUUCUUUUAUAUUAGAAUAAAGUGCAGUAUGUAUACUGUUUUGUAUGUAUAAUAUGAAUAAGGAUCGGCUAACUCCGUGCCAGCAGCCGCGGUAAUACGGAGGAUCCGAGCGUUAUCCGGAUUUAUUGGGUUUAAAGGGAGCGUAGGUGGACUGGUAAGUCAGUUGUGAAAGUUUGCGGCUCAACCGUAAAAUUGCAGUUGAUACUGUCAGUCUUGAGUACAGUAGAGGUGGGCGGAAUUCGUGGUGUAGCGGUGAAAUGCUUAGAUAUCACGAAGAACUCCGAUUGCGAAGGCAGCUUACUGGAUUGUAACUGACGCUGAUGCUCGAAAGUGUGGGUAUCAAACAGGAUUAGAUACCCUGGUAGUCCACACAGUAAACGAUGAAUACUCGCUGUUUGCGAUAUACAGUAAGCGGCCAAGCGAAAGCAUUAAGUAUUCCACCUGGGGAGUACGCCGGCAACGGUGAAACUCAAAGGAAUUGACGGGGGCCCGCACAAGCGGAGGAACAUGUGGUUUAAUUCGAUGAUACGCGAGGAACCUUACCCGGGCUUAAAUUGCAGUGGAAUGAUGUGGAAACAUGUCAGUGAGCAAUCACCGCUGUGAAGGUGCUGCAUGGUUGUCGUCAGCUCGUGCCGUGAGGUGUCGGCUUAAGUGCCAUAACGAGCGCAACCCUUAUCUUUAGUUACUAACAGGUCAUGCUGAGGACUCUAGAGAGACUGCCGUCGUAAGAUGUGAGGAAGGUGGGGAUGACGUCAAAUCAGCACGGCCCUUACGUCCGGGGCUACACACGUGUUACAAUGGGGGGUACAGAAGGCAGCUACCUGGUGACAGGAUGCUAAUCCCAAAAGCCUCUCUCAGUUCGGAUCGAAGUCUGCAACCCGACUUCGUGAAGCUGGAUUCGCUAGUAAUCGCGCAUCAGCCACGGCGCGGUGAAUACGUUCCCGGGCCUUGUACACACCGCCCGUCAAGCCAUGGGAGCCGGGGGUACCUGAAGUACGUAACCGCAAGGAGCGUCCUAGGGUAAAACUGGUGACUGGGGCU
rnacentral:rRNA from 1 species